ensembl:lncRNA
GGGGAACUAGGUUUUAGCAAUUGAAAAACAUAAAUGACUUUAAUUAUACGGAAAGAACGAGGAUUGUUUUCCUAGAAUGCAUCGGAAUGAGUAGAAACAGUAAUUGAGCAAAUGAAUUCCGAUAGAGGCAUAAUUGAUACUUGAAAACUCAAAUAAUAAUCUACAUUACUUCAACUGCGAUAACUUACAGGAGGGAAUUCUUAACAAUGCUUUCUAACAGUCAAUCUUGGUCAGGUUCUCAUCCUUCCAAAUAAAUCUCUUUGGAGUUAAAGCUAUAUUUUGGAAAUUAAUGACUUCUUCCAUGUGAGGCUAUCCUCAGAAGCCGACCAAAUUCUGAUAAAUCUAUAAAGCAAACUACGUUCUUUUCACUGGGAUCUGGAAGAGGAUGACAUUUAUGUAAUGGAUGAGUUUUGUGCCGUCCCCAGGAAAAUAAUCUCGUAUUUUACUAAGCUAUAGUCUGCAGAAAAAUUGCUGCUUUCAUACGCUUAAUAAAGACUCACUGAAACAUCUCACAGAAAUCCCUGAGGAUCAUCUCUGCAGUGAGCCCUGCUGGAAGUCUGAGGAGGGAAUGGUGAUGGGCCUGGGCAGCAGAAGAGCAGCACCAAGCCCUGCUCCUCCAGCUGAUGGCCUGAAGGCAAAUGGACAGGGAAGGAGGGGUUGGAGACCCUUCAAGAAGGGUGUGAGAGGGAUUUAGUGAAGUGACCGCGUGGGACCAGUGGGAACUGGGAAGAGCCUUUGGAGAUCCCCAGCAAGGGCUGGGUUUGGCCGACAGUUCAGGCAGCCAUGAAUUCAUGGUGAUGGAGGAGCCUUUGCUUUCCAAGGAUUAUCGCUGUCUGCCUUACAGCCUUCAAGUCCUGGCCCAGAGAGCCCCAGGGUAGGAGAUGCUGCACAGCACAAGCCAAAAGGUCUGCAUUUACCCCUGAAAUAUUUGCCAUCAAAGGUUCAGAAUGCAUCCACUCAUCUUCCAGACCUCUGGAUGACCAUCCAUCAUGACCGUCGUCUCCAGCCUUGUCUUAUGACACAGCUUGCCAGAAAACCUGGCAGCCCUUCCAUGGCCAACAGGAUGACCUUGUGGUGCUCAUAGGACAGGGCAUGGGACAGCUCAGCCUUCUGCUCCCAGUCCUUCAGAAAUCCUG